CAGUCCUCCAUACGAACGCACCAAAAAAUCCCACCACCGCAGAAAACCCGCUCCCCUCGAUCCCAUCGAAGUCCCAGCUUCGUUGCCGCCGCCGACAUACAAUCUGCCGCGAUCUUGUUUGAUCUCCCUGCCGCCCACGUACGGCAUCGCCGCUACCGACCUCCGGGAGCGGCGCCUCUCGCUGCCGCCGUGGUACGGAAUCGCCCCCGCCGAAGUACCAGAGGAGACGUUGUCGACGACGUCCGAGGGGAGACACCGGCGCCACCUCCAGGGCAGGGCGGUUUCAACCCCAGGUACGUCAGGGCCUCCCGCCUCACGUUUCCUCUUUCCGGAUCGAGGGCCGCCGCCGCCCCCCCUCCCCAGGCUGCCCCGCGGUCUUCUAUCUCUCCCAGCUCCGCUGUCGCGCCCCGUCUUCCGUCUCUGCAUGAAUCGCUGUUGUGGCAGCCAUCCCCCAAGGCGGCCAUCCGGGCACACUGUGUCCGGGAUGAUUGAGGUGAUGUCGGCCAGGUCCCUGUUCCCGUCGGCAUCUUCUGCGACGGGACCCGUGGGGGCAGGCCGCGCGCUACUCAUCUGCGUCGAUGGCGUCGGCGUGGUCCUUCCCCUUCCAAGCGUGGCGGCUCCUUGGCUGGAUCACGGUGAUGAUGCAGUCGGCUCGGUGAGGGCUAGGGAUCUCGCUGGCUGGCAUUUAUUUGAUGUCUGGAUGUUCCAAUCGUGAUGGAACGGACGUAUAAUGUACAGUACAAGAAUUUGGACGAGGCUCAUCUGCGUGGAUGGUUGUGGCUUGGCCGCCGGGCACACAAUCCAUUGAUUCACACAUAAGUUUCAUGUGGCAAUGACGCGUGGAGGACGACGGUCACGAGCGCAUUAUCGCAAGCUCACCGGAGGGAGGCACACAUCUCAUCCAAUGGAAAAGCACGCUCCAAAAAAUCCCUAACCCUCCACGGAGCCAUUGCUAGGGGGCGACGAGAUCAACGCCACCCACCACGACCACCGAGUUGUACAAGUGCGGAGAUUUCUUGCCUGGCGUAUAACAAUGCGUGUUCAAUGGGGUGGCCUCUUCUCACGCACAAGUCUCAGAGAGGCAGACAGCGACAACUAUUCAGAAUAACCACAACAAAAUUGUGACACAGGUGGUUAGUGAGAGAAGGAACCUGAGACCGCAGCUGAUUCUGCUGCAAGGGUGGUGUGUAGAAGAUAGUUGUAGCAAGCAUAUAAGUCACUCUAGAAAAAGUGUGUAGUUAUUGUUGUACUAGAGAUCCAUUCCGAUAUUUUCACUGAUAUGCAUGGUUGAAUAGUACUAUGUGUCAUAUGUGAGAGUAAUGUAAUACAAAAUGAAACAUGGU